UAUUAUUAUUACCAAACGUAACUGACCCUCCUUCCUUUUUAAUGAAGGAGAGAAAACACCUUUUAUCUCCUGUCAUGUGUUUUGAACAGCCACUGUCCAAAAACCAUGGCUUUUUCUUUGCACCUUGAUAGUAUCCCUGCAUUUUGAAAUUUUUGUUUAGGUGUCCAUAAUGACUUGGGUCCUUGAGGGUUAGUUUUCACAAUUUGUUUAUUUUUAAAAUAGCAUUCUUU
rnacentral:lncRNA from 1 species